ACUUAGCUAGCUAGCCUAAUUCCACACUUUACGGAUGUCCAAUUUGUGUCAAUGUAGGUUAGAGCUGCCGCCUUAUAAGCAGAUUGUGACAUACGGGGCGCGUUCUUACAAGAAUCCACUGACCUAGAAUUGAAAAGAAAAAAUGUUGAGCCAGAAGAUAUAGAAGCCAAUGCCAUAGAUGCUGAAACUAUGGGUACUAGCAGUUCUAAAGAAAAGGAGGUGGUAAAAGGGCAAAGCCUAGCCCAGUUUUUGAAGCAUCUAAGAAGACUUCUGCUACACAUGAUAGUCCAGCAAAGAACACAAGAAGUAAACAAUGUCCUCCAUCGAAGAGCACAAGAAGCAAAAAGUUGUGAACCUUCCUGUGCAACUACAUGUUAUUUUGUGGAACACCGUGCCAUAUGGAACCUUGCUGUGUAGUUGUGUAGCUGAUGCAACUGCAUGUAAUUUUGUGGAGCACCAUGCAUAUUUGAACCUUGUUGUGUAGCUUGUUGUGUAGCUAAUGCAAUUACAUAUUGUGAAGCACCAUGCCUUGUUGUGUAGCUGUAGCUGAUGCAA